rnacentral:rRNA from 1 species
CAGUCGCCGCGGUAAUGCGUAGGAUGCGAGCGUUAAUCGGAAUUACUGGGCGUAAAGCGUGCGCAGGCGGUUUUGUAAGACAGGCGUGAAAUCCCCGGGCUCAACCUGGGAAUGGCGCUUGUGACUGCAAAGCUAGAGUGCGGCAGAGGGGGAUGGAAUUCCGCGUGUAGCAGUGAAAUGCGUAGAUAUGCGGAGGAACACCGAUGGCGAAGGCAAUCCCCUGGGCCUGCACUGACGCUCAUGCACGAAAGCGUGGGGAGCAAACAGGAUUAGAUACCCCCGUAGUCCCUGUCUCUUAUAA